UACAAGUAAAUUGACUUAAUUCAGCUUUUAAUCUGAAGCAGCUCUUCCAACAUGGGGGGGCUCUCUCAAAGCAGUGCAUCUAUCCUUUUAGUGGCCUAAAAAGUGCUGAAAUCUGCACAACUAAAGCUCAAACAGCUCACUCUAUUUUUAAACAAGGCUGACGGCAUGAGCCAAAGUUCUGGCUUUGGAAGUAUCAUAUACUCUUAAAUCUAACACACAUCUGGUCUUGACUGUGUAGCACAUGAGGACUUGGAAGCUACAAUCCUGGAUUUCCCAGAUGAAACAAGCAAAGAGUUCAAAAGAGGGCUAAAUUGUGAGCUAUCUUGAUUCACUUGACCAUAGCCAACACUUUCUUGCCUUCUGAAAGAGAACAUCUGAAUUUAAGGGUGAAAUAACUUUUACAUUUACAGGAGAAAACAUCACUAGAGGCUAACCUAUCCUCUACAUGAUUCUUGGUAGAACUGGGACAACUCGAGUGUUUCACACCUUGCUUUAACCAGCCUUGCAGUCAUGUUUGAUCCUGUUUGGUGCACUCAAAAAGUUCAUUCUUUGCAGCUGCACCAAGUCCAAGCAGGAGCACAGCCUCAGUCCCUCCCUACCCUACCUUCAGCUGUAGCUACAGCUGCUCCCUACUGUGAACUGCUACCAGGCAGAUCUGGAAGAACUCUCCUGUCUGACAAGACAGGUCAUAGCUUGUCAAAAAACGGGCCUCGGGUGUUGGAUCAGGGUUUGGAAAUCAAUCAACUGACUCCUCUUUGUCUGAUUAGAGGCUGAAGGAAGAAUCUAAAACUCCUCUGUGGUAUACCAUAAACAUUAUGGCAGGUAAAAUGAUUGAUUGGGUGUGAUUUAUGAGUGUCCACUGUGCUGUAUUCCUGAAUGUCUUGUACAUCUUGUACCUGAUCUGGCUUGGGGGGCUGAUAGUUAAAAGCUGAGGUCAUAUGUUCCAACAUACACAAAGUAAGAGAAAAACAGUGUAGCUUUAGCUGCACAAGUUACUUCCUGAACAGUCUUUUAAAGCCCGUGGGUCAAAAUGCAGUGUGAUUAGUGCUGGACGAUAAUUCGAUAACAAUAUAUAUCGAUCGAUAGACGUGUGGGGCGAUAGAAAAAAAACGGGUCGAUAAAAAGUUCGAUAGAAAAACACAGUUUCCCUUCCUUUUUCAUCAUGGCCUAUCAUGUAGCUUUUACUACAGUCAUUACUUCCUCCCAACCAAUCACAAACGCAGACCCAGGUACGCUACGGCACCAAGCCCAGCCCCUAUCAAACCACAACAGACAGCACGUGUAUUAGAAAAAAUGUUACAGCAAGGAGAAGCGGAGGACAUUGUCCCGAAAAAAGGUCUCAGUAGUUCUCCAGCAUGGCAAUGUUUUGGAUUUUAGAAGUCUGACAAAAAGCGAACAGCGGUCGUUUGCAAAAUUUGCCGAGAAUUAGUAAAAACCAAGUCUGGUAACACAACCAACUUGUUUUACCAUCUAAACCGGUCGCAGCCGCAGGAGUACGAGCUGUGUCGGCCGCGCCGCGGCUCCACGUCGUCGGAGGAGGAAUCCUCUGGAACCGCUGCCAGCACCGGCACAAAGCAAGUGAAGCAGACCAAACUGGACUUAGUUUCUUGCCAAAAUACGACAAAGCGUCGAGCGGCAUAAGGACAUCACCCAUGCAGUAACAUGAUUCAUAGCGAGGGACAUACUGCCAAUAACUACCGUUGAAAAGCCUGGCUUCGACCAGCUUCUAGCCACUCUCGACCCGCGAUAUGAAGUGCCCGGCCGCAAGUAUUUCUCAAACACAGCGCUUCAGGCAUGAAAAUGGGUCAGGGGUUGAAAAGGUGAGAAGGGUGCGGAGGAAAUACGUUCCGGUGUUGUACCGUAGAAUGCACCCCUGCAUCCCGUCCACUCAUUAGCUUCUUAAAGUGGAAGAAAAUGAGCUCAUAUUUUACAAAGACGCGAGUAUUUGGAUCAUGGCUACUAGCAGGGGGUGCAUUCGGCAGGGGUGCAUUCUACGACACAACACCGGCGUGGAUAAGUCCUGCUUCUCGUGCUCAGUUUGCGUAUUAAGUCAAUCACAUGAUAAUUAAAAAUAAAUCUCCCGACCCCGGGAGAAAUAUUUCAGUGUUCAGACACCAGGCUGUGGGCAGUUUCCCACAUAGUUAAAACUGGUAGUAUGCUAUUCCCACCUAAAGCUAUUCUGUUUAUUUAUAUAUUUGUUUGUUUUGUUUAUUUUCAUCAAAAGACUAUUUAAAUAUUUAUUUAUCAGAUUUUCUGGUCCCUUUAGUCUUUAUGUUUGUCAGUAUUUACUGACAUCACUCAGGCCACUUAAGUUGAUCUCUUUUUUUUUUUAAGUUCUUUUUUAAAAAACUUUGAGUUGUGGUAAAAAAAAAAAAAAGGUGGUUGAAUAAAGGUUUGAAUUUGAAUUCAGUGCUUGUGUGUUCUUUAUUAAAAGUAGGUCAUUAAGCAAUAGCAUAAAACAUCCAGGGCUGCAAUUAAAAUAUAUGUUAAAUAAUUAUAAUAAUAUCGAUAAUUAUCGAUAUCGAUCAAUAUGAUUUAUUUUUUAUCGAUAUGCUUUUUUUCUAUAUCGUCCAGGCCUAAGUGUGAUCAUUCCAUAAUGUAGCAGAGUGAGUAGCAGAAUGAGUUACACUGGGAGAAUGCUAUGAGUUAACUUCAGCCCCAGUCGAAGUGACCUCAUUGGAUGUGUGAACCAUGGCGUUGACAAAGCUGCUCUAUUUGGAGGCUGUUACAAAGAAAAACCCUUUUAAAGAGGUAAAAGAGAGAGAGAACCUGUUCUACCUCAUUCUGCUGCACCAGGACCACAGCUGUAUUUAAUGUGGGAGAGAGCAAGAGAACAAGAGAAAGAGAGAUUAUGCAACUGCAAUGUGGCUGUAGAGUGUAACAUCUGUGCUGUGACAACAACAAUAGUCUCUGCUGAGGGAUUGGCACAAAUUCACAUCUCUUCUCUUUCCCAUGCACCCAAAUUUAAUCUAGAGUCAUUAUUAUUAUGAUGGGAAAAAAUACAUUUGCCUGCUUUUAUUUUUGCCUUUUGAGAAGCAACUAAAGGCCACAAAGUUUGCACACAUCUGGUAUGACCCCUCCCCUUCCUCAUCAUCCGUAUGUGCAGUCUGGCCACACAAGAGCUCCAUAGUGUCUGAUAACAAUGUGGUACUCUGGGGAAAAACAGAAGCUAAUACUACACAUGGCAAGAUGCUGCUGUCUCCUGUUACUCUCUCUUUAAACUCCUUUAAAACAGAUACAUGACAGAUCUGGAUUCUGACAGAUUUAUUGCCACAAUCCCACAAUGAAGAAAGAGAUUGAUGAUUCUGCUUGUUUUUCAGGAGAGCUCAAAGUUCGAACCAAUGGGAAGUUUACACCUGAUGGCUUUUACGGAGAGGCACAGCACUUUGAAAUCAACAUCUGCUGUGAUUUAUCUCUUAUCUUGCUAAGACAAGACGACUCUGCCAAGCUCAAGACCUGAUAAACGUCCAUGAAAAGGGAUGCAAAUGACACUGACAUGGCACUAAGGGCUGAUUGUGGUCAACUUGGCCCAAAGCACCAAAAGGCCAUCUGCCAGUGUUGUGACGGGCACCCUCUGGAUAGGCUUUGUGGCUCAGACUGACUGCAGCCCACUACCAAAGAACACAGAUGCCUCUGAGAUGGCCUAUAGCGACAUACGUAAUGUGCUUUGAGAAUGAAUCUACGCUGGGGAAGCUGCUUCCCAAUAGGGGGCCUAUACUGUAUAACAACGACAGUAGUGUACUGUCAUUUUACAAACACAACAUCAUGUUCAGAAAAUCCUAAAGUGUGAUGGCAAAAAACCUUGCAGACAUUUUUGUAUCAUGAGUGUAUUAGGGUUGCAAGUUUAGUAAGGCUACAUGAUAUUUUUAUCAACCUAUAGAAGGUGCAGCAGAGUAUAAUCAAACCCCCUAAACAAAUGCUGUGAAUCUUUGUCAGAUUAUACCCUGACAGUGUCUGAUUUACAGGAAAUGCUUCAGGGGUGAAACACAAGUCUUGUUCCUGUAGGUUCUUAUUUUUACAUGCAGGAGGAAGUGACAGGAUCUCAACAGCUGCGAGCAGCCAAAUGGCGAAAAACUCAUCCCUGCGUCUCUGCUUCGUCUUCAUGUUCAACCCCAAA